GACGAAGGAUGCAAGCGUUAUCCGGAUUCAUUGGGUUUAAAGGGAGCGUAGGCGGUCUUAUAAGUCAGUGGUGAAAGCUCCUCGCUUAACGAGGAAAUUGCCAUUGAUACUGUAGGACUUGAGUACAGUUGCUGUGGGCGGAAUAUGACAUGUAGUGGUGAAAUACAUAGAUAUGUCAUAGAACACCGAUUGCGAAGGCAGCUCACAAAACUGUAACUGACGCUGAGGCUCGAAAGUGCGGGGAUCAAACAGG
rnacentral:rRNA from 1 species